UUACUUGUCUGAGGUGCUCCUCUUGGUGCUUGCUUUUUGGAGGUCUUGGUAUAGGUUCCCAUGUUAAGUGGAAGAGGAUGCACUCAAAGAGCCCAGGCUCCUGGAUAUGAGCCCUAAGGAAGAAUAAAGCGACAAGAAGCAGUGUUACUUUCCA
rnacentral:lncRNA from 1 species